CCUGACCACUGUCGCUGGAGUCCUGGGGUGACUAAACUCUGUUCCUCCCAGACAGACAGAAGAGGUGAAGCCAUGCCUCAAGAAGCCCCAGUGCCUUGAGGAGGCCUUAGGAGUCAAUAGACCAGAAAAGAUCAGCCCCCCACUGCUGAGGACAGAGUAUGUGUGGCAGUCAUUAAAAACAAACAAACAAAACAAAACAAAAAAUCCUAUGUUAAAAACUUGACUACUGCUUCAAUCUCCAGAGAAACUCAGUCAAGACUCACCAGCCCGUCACAUGGCGAUAAUAAGGACACAUAUUCAUACAAGCAAAGACCUCCAAAUUUCCAGACCCUUUUAUAUCCAUGCUUUUAUCUCAUCUCGAGGACAGCUCUCCAGGGCAGGUGGUAUGCUCUCCCGUUUCACAGAGGAGGCAGCAGGUGGCCCCCGUGCAGCAAAGGGAGAUGGUCCCGCUUACAUGGCUCGUUAGCCCCAGUGGAGCAGACUCAGGUUCUCGAUUCUCAACUCAGUGACCUUGGAGGGGCUCUUCCCUGAGCUGCAGCUUUGCAACCAUGCAUCACUGAAGAAUGGAACCUGAUGGAACAUUCUGGAAUUCCACUCCGAAAGUCCCAAAGCUACAACACACUUCAGUGGCCAGAACCUGGCCUCUGCCACUCCUGCUCACCCAUUGGCCCUUGCUUGGGGCUGCAUGCUUCAGCACUCUGGCGCUGCCUGUGGGGUGCAGCUGAAGGGGAAGAGCAAGCCUCACAAUUGAACACUUGCAGGAAAUGUCUGAUACUUGGGUGUGGCCUCCUGGGUUUGAUUCCUGUCCUGUAGCUCACUGGCUGUGCACUCUUGGGCAAGUGACAUCACUUCUCUAGAUCUCUGUUUCUUCAUUUGUAAAACGAAAAUAACAAUGCAUCCUUCAAGGCUGGGCACGGUGGCUCACGCCUGUAAUCCCAGCACUUUGGGAGGCUGAGGCAGGUGGAUCACUCAAGGUCAGGAGUUCGAGACCAGCCUGGUCACCAUGGCAAAAAUUAGCUGGGCGUGGUGGUGGGCACCUGUAAUCCCAGCUACUCGGGAGUAUGAGGCAGGGAGAAUAGCUUGAACCCAGGAGGCGGAGGUUGCAGUGAGCCGAGAUGACACCACUGCACUCCAGCCUGGGCGACAGAGCGAGACUCUGUCUCAAAAAAAAAAAAAAGAAACAAAGAAAGAAAGAAAAUAUUAAACACUGAAACACUAAACCACUUCUACAAUAGAUAUAAGGUCAACAGUAAGGGGGAGGUAAAUCAGUUAUAUGUCUUCAGUAGAAUACUACACAGUCAUUAAAAUGCUUGUGAAUUGAAUGAUAUGGGUGGCAGGUACCUGUAAUCCCAGCUACUCAGGAGGCU
rnacentral:lncRNA from 10 species